rnacentral:lncRNA from 1 species
GGAGGUGGUAUUUAUAGAUAAAUCAAGACAAACUCUUGAUGGAAAAUAAUAUGUCGGGACUUCGUUGAAAGUUUUAAAUUUCAAAUGGCUACAUAAUUUUUAUAAUUUUCAUCGGUAAUCAAUCGAAAAUUACCAACAUAUUACCGAUAGAUUUGAGAUUCAGGAAUUUCAACAGAUAGCUAACAAGUAGUUCUUUUGUAGGAAAUUCAUCGGUAAUUUUCCAACAGGCUGUUAUUGUCGAGAAUUCCUGACGGAUUCCCGGUGAUUUUCU